rnacentral:lncRNA from 1 species
CCAUAUGAAGAGAGAAGAGAAGAGAUGAGUUGGGAGAUUUAGAUAAGAUAUACAAGAUAUAUCUAUACAUAUUUACUAAUACCAAAUUUAUUACUGAGUUUAUUUCUCUUAUUUCCACAUUUUAUAAAAGAAAACAAAAGAAAAUAAAAAGAGAGAGAGAGAGAGAGGUAGAUUCGACAACCAUAGAGGAAGGGGAGAGAGAGUUUGAUCCAAGCUAUCUAGAUUCAUCCAGGAGAAGGAGAAGGAAGUAAGAUCAAAGAUCUUGGUAUAAAUCCUAACUAAACUAGUUUAUUUCUUUUUAUUUAAUUUGUUUUGAUGAAAUAAAGAUCUAAGAUUUCAAAACUCAAAAACCUUAGAUAUACAUAUUAAUAAGUGUUUUAUAUUUAGAUCUAACCCUUUUGAGUGUCAAAAGUUGGAUCAAAAGAAAGAAAAGUAAAACUAAUUUCUAAAGGGCUAGAAAACCAUAAUUUUCUUUUACUUUGAAAGAUUAUAACUUGAGUCUACACCUUCUUUUUGUGAUUCAUUAAAGUGGGGUGCUAGAUAUGUAAGUUAACUAUUAAAGGCAAGUGGUAGCACUCAAAACUGUUGAUUGUACAAGCCAUAGGAUGUGUUUUGGUGUAAACUGUCCAGCUAGAAUAAAAAAGGGGCCGGGAAAAACAUUUUCUGUUCAGUUGCUUCCAGGGGGAGUUUCGUCCGUUUAAGUUGCUUUAAAAAUUCUAGAAACAUUUGGUAGGAUAAUAUGACAAGUUAUCUAGAUCCGGUCUAAAGAUGAAAAUUUUUGGAUGUGUAGAAUGGGAGUUAUGGAUUUUAUAAGAAAGAAUUAUUUAAAAGAGAACUGAAAUAAGUUUUUGUGUGUAACUCCAAAAAUUGUACCUGAAAUGUUUACUGGAGGUAGAGUAUCAUGGCAGGAGCAUAUCUUGAAAAUUUUAGAAGUUUUGGACAAAGUUUCGAUUUAUGAAGAUCCAACUAUUUUGGUCAUUUUAAAAAUAGUAAAUGAAAUCCAAAAAUUCCCGAAAAAUUAUAUGUUCAUCAUGAUACCAUAUAAUGAAAAUUUUCAGGAAAAAAAUAUUUUUGGAGUUGAUUUGGUAUUUUCAUGUAAAUGAUUGAGUAAUGAAUAAAUGAAUAAAAUAAAUAAUGCGAUGCUAUAAAGGGUAAAAAUGUAAUUUUAUUGACCAAAGACCCUUGAUAUAAGGUUAUCAGAUUUUUAGAGGGUAUUUUGGUCAUUUUUGAUAAAAUAAUAUAUUUAUAGUAUUUUAGGUUUAUUAAAUGAAUGAAUUAGUAAAGGGUAAACAAUUAGAAUUAAUUGUUUAUUAGUUUAAUAAAUAAUUAAAAUAUUAUUAAGAGCUUAAUAAUAUUAUUUUAAGAUAUUAAGAAGUAAUUAAUAAUAUUUAGAUUAAAAUAUUAUUAAAUGAUUAAUAAUUUUAGAUUAAAGUUAAAUUAAAAUAUUAUUAAAUAAUUAAUAAUAUUAGAUAAUGAUUUAAAUUUUUAUUAAAUGAUUAAUAAUAUUAGAUUAGAGUUAAAUUAAAAUAUUAUUAAAUGAUUAAUAAUAUUAGAUAAUGAUUUAAAAUAUUAUUAAAUGAUUAAUAAUAUUAAAUUAAAGUUAAAUUAAAGUAUUAUUAAAUAAUUAAUAAUAUUAUUAAUUGAUUAAAAUAUUAUUAAAUGGUUAAUAAUAUUUAGGAAAGGUUAAGAUAUUAAAUAUUGAUUAAAAUAUUAUUAAUUGAUUAAUAAUAUUAGUAAUUGGAUAAGAUGUGAUUAAUGUACGGAAUAUUAUUAAGUGAUUAAUAAUAUUAUUAAGUGACUAAAAUAUUAUUAAAUGAUUAAUAAUAUUAAUAAGGGAUUAAAAUAUUAUUAAAUGGUCAAUAAAGGAUUAACAAUAUUAGACAAGAGUUUAAGACAAUGAUUAUAUAAUAAUAAUAUUAUCAAGGGAUAAUAAUAUUCCUAAUGAGUAAGGUAUUAUUGAAUGUUUGAUUACAUAAUUACAUGUUAGAUAAUUUAUUAUAAGAAUAGUGGUGUUAUGAGUUAUAAUAUGUUAUGCUAAUUGAGAGAUCAAUAUUAUUAAUGAUACGUCUUUCAGACGAAGUUAAAUUAAAUUAUGUAGCAGUAGUCAACGACCAAUGCAUGUUUCCUAACUCAACUUGAGUUAUUAAUUUCAAAGCAUGUUAGUGGAUAAUUAUUGUUGAUUAUUCACAUCCAUAAUGAUUAUUGUUAUUCGCACAUAGUGCAAUUGAUUCCUGUUUCAUUAUUUGAACUGUGAAAUAAAUUUAAAGUUCUUUUAUUCAUGAACUAUUUAUGAGCCAUGUCUCAGCUAUUUGUUUUGGUUAGACUAAUAAUUGAUGAAUCAUUCUAUUAUUUGAACUAAGUUGUUAUUGAAAGAUUUAUGCUAUUUAUUUCGGCUAGAUCAAUAUUGAUAGUAUAUGUUGAAAUCAUAACAUUUCUUUGAAAGCAAUCCAAACCAUAUUGUUAUGGUACAGACUCAUGAUGUAAGACUGAGAUGAACCACUCUUAUAAAUAGGGAAACUUUAUUGUCGGACAUUCGACCCUUACGCUAUUUUUGAGUAUUAUGCAUAAUAUAGGGUACAAUGGGACUGAUUACCUCAUGUACUCGCAGAAGAGUAUAAUUAGUUUUUAUAACUAACUUAUAUUUUUUAGAUAAUUCAGUUUUAUUAACUGAUGAUUCCUCUAUUAGUUCUUUAUCCAUUUGUGAUCACUCAACAUGAAAUCUGGGAAUAUCCCACUUUAUUGAAUGUUGUUGCAGUAUUGCUAACUUUUUUUAAUCAAUUGAAUGUAAUUGAACUUUCGAAAGAAUUUCACUCUUUCAGUCUUGAUAUGAUAUGUUAUUUAUUCUGGAAUUCAAGAAAAUUCUUGUUAUUGAAAAUGAUUUAUUGUUCAACUAUUUCACAAUCUUUUGAAUAUUGUUGAAAUCCUAGAAAGUUAGAUUCUUCUAUAUCUUUUAUUGAACGUUUUAACUUGCCGAGCAAACUAGUUACUCGCCCUUGCUUAAAUAAAACAUUUCAGUUAAAGCCGAGGUAGCCGAAGGGUCUAAGAAAGAUAAAUGCAAAGAGAAUGCGACCGAGUAGAAUUAAUUGUGUAAUGAUGAUUAUUAUAUUGUAUUUUUGGUUUAAGCCUUUUGUAUUAUAGGGCAUGUAAUAUUAAGGUUAGUUUACGUGGGAUGAUGUUACAAAUAUGUAUUUAAGGUAUGUUUUUAUUAUGGAAAUGUAAUGAAUGAUAUAAUUUAUAACGAAUGAGUAUUUAAAUGUGAUAUGUUUGAUGUAUCGUGAACACCGAAUUCGAGGUUCGAGGAACCCGAAUUUGGGAGCGUCACAUUAUGGAAUACGGAAUAUCUUUUCAGGAUUUAUAAUCCCACGGCCUGUAAGUUAUAGCAACUCAAACGCUCUAAUUUUUAUAAUUUUUUUUUAUUCAAGUUUGAUGUUGAGAAUCUAAUACUAGCUAGAAAGCAUGAAAGCGUACAUUCAGGAUUUAAACAUGAUGGAUGUGUUGCUUACAAACUGUACGGUCUGAUUGCGUCGCAAUUUGGAGACAUGCAUUGAGGAAUGUUCAGUUGCUUACAGUCUGUACGGUCUGAUUGUGUCGCAAUGAGUAAUGCAACAGAUAAUGCAGUAGAGGUGAAGAAGACGUAAUGAGCUUCCUGCUGUUGUAUGGGUUUUUUUUGUUACUUAAAAUGUAUUGUUUUUUUGUUACUUAAAAAUGUAAUUAUUGUAAAUUAUGGGCCAGUUCGCAGUUCCAAGAAAAGGUGAAACCUCGUAUGAUCAAAUUGAUGAAAUUCUUUUAAGAAGUAGUGGCUGCUUCUACAUUACCAAUUACUCCUAUAUAUAUGUUGUACAUACUGAUUGCAUAUUUACAUUACUAUUUCAUUUUUUUUUCACACAUUAUGUAUUCUGCUCUACUGGGUUAGUAUUUGUUUUUAGAUGCAAUGUUAUCUGAUCAAUAAUUAGUUUCAUGUUUGAAUGUGCUUUUAUUUAUGCAGUAUUUUUUGAGGUUUAUGUAUGCAUAUCAAAGUUUAGGAUGAAAUUUAUUUUUAAUUAAUAAUCUGAAUUUAAAAUGGAGAGGGUAAAGACCAUUUUCUAUGGAUCAAAUUAUGGAUCAAGGGAC